UACCAGCACCCCGAGUGGUCGGGACGAUUAGUGGGCCUAAAGCAUCCGUAGCCGGUUUUACAAGUCCUCCGUUAAAUCCAGCUGCUUAACAGAUGGGCUGCGGAGGAUACUAUAAGACUAGGAGGCAGGAGAGGCAAGCGGUACUCAGUGGGUAGGGGUAAAAUCCGUUGAUCCAUUGAAGACCACCAGUGGCGAAGGCGGCUUGCCAGAAUGCGCUCGACGGUGAGGGAUGAAAGCUGGGGGAGCAAACCGG
rnacentral:rRNA from 1 species